rnacentral:ncRNA from 1 species
UCUUAUAAAGAGCGGCUGAGGGACUGGCCCUGCGACGCCCGGCAACCAUUCAUAUACCCAUAUGAACAGGUGCUAAAUCCUGCAAAAUACUUUUUGGUAUUUUGAUAUAUGAG